rnacentral:rRNA from 2 species
UACAGAGGUGUCAAACGUUGUCCGGAAUUACUGGGCGUAAAGGGCGCGUAGGCGGUCCUAUAAGUCAGAUGUGAAAGCUCUGGGCUCAACCCAGGAAUUGCAUCUGAUACUGUAGGACUUGAGUUCGGUAGAGGAGGGCGGAAUUCCAGGUGUAGCGGUGAAAUGCGUAGAUAUCUGGAGGAACACCCGUGGCGAAGGCGGCUCUCUGGUCCGAAACUGACGCUGAGGUGCGAAAGCUAGGGUAGCAAACAGG